AAACAGAAGCCUUCGGGUGGAAGAUUUGUGGAUUGAGCGGCGGACGGGUGAGUAACACGUGGGCAACCUACCUAUAAGACUGGGAUAACUCGUGGAAACAGGAGCUAAUACCGGAUGUAUCGUUUGAACGCAUGUUCAAACAAAUAAAGGCGGCUUUACGGCUGUCACUUAUAGAUGGGCCCGCGGCGCAUUAGCUAGUUGGUGGGGUAAUGGCUCACCAAGGCGACGAUGCGUAGCCGACCUGAGAGGGUGAUCGGCCACACUGGGACUGAGACACGGCCCAGACUCCUACGGGAGGCAGCAGUAGGGAAUCUUCCGCAAUGGACGAAAGUCUGACGGAGCAACGCCGCGUGAACGAUGAAGGUUUUCGGAUCGUAAAGUUCUGUUGUUAGGGAAGAACACGUACCGUUCAAAUAGGGCGGUACCUUGACGGUACCUAACGAGAAAGCCCCGGCUAACUACGUGCCAGCAGCCGCGGUAAUACGUAGGGGGCAAGCGUUGUCCGGAAUUAUUGGGCGUAAAGCGCGCGCAGGCGGUCUUUUAAGUCUGAUGUGAAAUCUUGCGGCUCAACCGCAAGCGGUCAUUGGAAACUGGAAGACUUGAGUGCAGAAGAGGAGAGUGGAAUUCCAUGUGUAGCGGUGAAAUGCGUAGAUAUAUGGAGGAACACCAGUGGCGAAGGCGACUC
rnacentral:rRNA from 1 species